CGAAUUGUGAGCUGUCUUUUCAUUUCUCGAUAGUGUCCUUUACACGAAACUUUUUAAUUGUUUUUCCUUGUGUUGCUUAUGCUUUUAACAUCAUAUGUAAGAAUCCAUUACCAAAUCCAAGGUCAUGUCAAUUGACCCCUGUGGGGUUUUUUCCUAAGAGUGUAUAGUUUUGGUUCUUACAUUUAGGUCUUUGACCCAUUUUGAAUCAUUUUUGUAGGUGAGGGUAGGCCACACUCUGCUUUGUCUCUCUGACAAUAUCUCCUACCACUCUGUUCCAUUCUUGCUUUGUUCCAGUCAUAAACACAACCUUUUUCUUCUUCCAACAAGAAGGUGUGCUCCUGCUGCAGGAUCUUUGCAUUCUCCCUCACAAAACUUCUUCCUCCUUCAUUACUCUCAGGUCUUUGCUAAAGUUCACUUUCCCCAGUGCUCCCUGUCUCCCUUCCCCUUCAAACUCUGCUUCCCAGCACUCUGGGGAGUCUGAGUAUUCCUCCUACCCCACCCCUCAAGACAGAACACUUAAGGCUAUCCUUCCCUUAGACUAUCCCAUUUCCUUUUCUUUGAUUAUUCAUCUUUACACUUUCAUUUAAGCAGGGUACCUCCAGUUAAAAAUGUUUUAG
rnacentral:lncRNA from 1 species